UGUGUGUUUGUUUAUAUGGUAUAGAUGGACAAUGCACCUGACUACUUACCUGGGCUCCGCGGACCUAAGGGUAAUAGGCGGACUAUGCCAUAGUCCCCAUAAUUCCGAAAGUGUAAAUGCAUUCGUUAGUGUCUAAAUAACAUAUUUUCUCUUUUUCUUUGAAAGUCCUUAUUUACCACUUGACCUGAUUUUGAGUGUAUUCCAGUGUAUAGAACAGCGCACCCUACAGAUGGUGGCUAUAUUGCACUUUCAUACACAUUUUCGAUACACACGAGCGAAUUUGGCGGGCUUCCUUGUGAUUGGCUGGCAUGCAUGUGGGCGGUACCCAUAGGCAGUCAACUCCAAGGUCCACGCAGACGUCCGCGCUUUAAAAAUUAAAGGUGGAAAGCAGCAGCAGCAAGGCCCAAUGGAUGUACCAGAGGAUUAAACACAUGCAGUGAAACAUGCAAAGGCGAAGACGCAUUAAUCCAAAGGAAGAUGCAAAAUUUUAUGUUACUACUGAAAGGGACAAAGUGGGACUUGACAUCAAGUACAUCAAUUCCUUCAAAGGUCGUGGCAUCUUCACCUCUGUUCAAUUUGAAAAAGGAGACUUUCUGUUGGAAUAUAGAGGCGAACUAAUAAGCAAGCAAGAAUGUGAGAGGAGACAAAGACUUUACCAUGACCACCUUAAGGUGUUCAUGUUCGAGUUCCAUUUUAAUGGAAAACUGUGGUGUGUUGAUGCAGCAAAAGAGGAUGGGUCACUUGGAAGACUUGUAAAUGACGACCACAUAAACCCC